rnacentral:rRNA from 1 species
UACGUAGGGGGCAAGCGUUGUCCGGAAUCAUUGGGCGUAAAGCGCGUGUAGGCGGUUCGGUAAGUCUGCUGUGAAAGUCCAGGGCUCAACCCUGGGAUGCCGGUGGAUACUGUCGGACUAGAGUACGGAAGAGGCGAGUGGAAUUCCCGGUGUAGCGGUGAAAUGCGCAGAUAUCGGGAGGAACACCAAUUGCGAAGGCAGCUCGCUGGGACGUCACUGACGCUGAGACACGAAAGCCAGGGGAGCAAACGGG